AUGAACGCUGGCGGCGUGCCUAAUACAUGCAAGUCGAACGCUUUGUGGUUCAACUGAUUUGAAGAGCUUGCUCAGAUAUGACGAUGGACAUUGCAAAGAGUGGCGAACGGGUGAGUAACACGUGGGAAACCUACCUCUUAGCAGGGGAUAACAUUUGGAAACAGAUGCUAAUACCGUAUAACAAUGACAACCGCAUGGUUGUUAUUUAAAAGAUGGUUCUGCUAUCACUAAGAGAUGGUCCCGCGGUGCAUUAGCUAGUUGGUAAGGUAAUGGCUUACCAAGGCGAUGAUGCAUAGCCGAGUUGAGAGACUGAUCGGCCACAAUGGGACUGAGACACGGCCCAUACUCCUACGGGAGGCAGCAGUAGGGAAUCUUCCACAAUGGGCGAAAGCCUGAUGGAGCAACGCCGCGUGUGUGAUGAAGGGUUUCGGCUCGUAAAACACUGUUGUAAGAGAAGAAUGACAUUGAGAGUAACUGUUCAAUGUGUGACGGUAUCUUACCAGAAAGGAACGGCUAAAUACGUGCCAGCAGCCGCGGUAAUACGUAUGUUCCAAGCGUUAUCCGGAUUUAUUGGGCGUAAAGCGAGCGCAGACGGUUAUUUAAGUCUGAAGUGAAAGCCCUCAGCUCAACUGAGGAAUUGCUUUGGAAACUGGAUGACUUGAGUGCAGUAGAGGAAAGUGGAACUCCAUGUGUAGCGGUGAAAUGCGUAGAUAUAUGGAAGAACACCAGUGGCGAAGGCGGCUUUCUGGACUGUAACUGACGUUGAGGCUCGAAAGUGUGGGUAGCAAACAGGAUUAGAUACCCUGGUAGUCCACACCGUAAACGAUGAGUGCUAGGUGUUUGAGGGUUUCCGCCCUUAAGUGCCGCAGCUAACGCAUUAAGCACUCCGCCUGGGGAGUACGACCGCAAGGUUGAAACUCAAAGGAAUUGACGGGGACCCGCACAAGCGGUGGAGCAUGUGGUUUAAUUCGAAGCAACGCGAAGAACCUUACCAGGUCUUGACAUCCCUUGACAACUCCAGAGAUGGAGCGUUCCCUUCGGGGACAAGGUGACAGGUGGUGCAUGGUUGUCGUCAGCUCGUGUCGUGAGAUGUUGGGUUAAGUCCCGCAACGAGCGCAACCCUUAUUACUAGUUGCCAGCAUUCAGUUGGGCACUCUAGUGAGACUGCCGGUGACAAACCGGAGGAAGGUGGGGAUGACGUCAAAUCAUCAUGCCCCUUAUGACCUGGGCUACACACGUGCUACAAUGGCGUAUACAACGAGUUGCCAACCCGCGAGGGUGAGCUAAUCUCUUAAAGUACGUCUCAGUUCGGAUUGUAGGCUGCAACUCGCCUACAUGAAGUCGGAAUCGCUAGUAAUCGCGGAUCAGCACGCCGCGGUGAAUACGUUCCCGGGUCUUGUACACACCGCCCGUCAAG
rnacentral:rRNA from 1 species